AUUGAACGCUGGCGGCAGGCCUAACACAUGCAAGUCGAACGAGUGGCGGACGGGUGAGUAAUGUCUGGGAAACUGCCUGAUGGAGGGGGAUAACUACUGGAAACGGUAGCUAAUACCGCAUACCAUCGGAUGUGCCCAGAUGGGAUUAGCUAGUAGGUGGGGUAAAGGCUCACCUAGGCGACGAUCCCUAGCUGGUCUGAGAGGAUGACCAGCACAACUGGAAGUGAGACACGGCCCAGACCCCUACGGGGGGAAGAAGGGGGGAAUAUGGCACAAGGGGCGAAAGCCUGAUGCAGCCAUGCCGCGUGUAUGAAGAAGGCCUUCGGGUUUUAAAGUACUUUCAGCGGGGAGACGUUACCCGCAGAAGAAGCACCGGCUAACUCCGUGCCAGCAGCCGCGGUAAUA
rnacentral:rRNA from 1 species